rnacentral:misc_RNA from 1 species
UUUUUGCCCUCUCAAAUGAAGCCUACAAGAGAAUACAGAAUACAAAUUCUGGUUACUAGAAGAAUUUAACCAGCUCCAAAAAAAAAAAUCUAAACUAAACUAAACUGAUAAAAGAAGAUGAGAAUCUGUAUAAACAUAAAGUGUGACCACUGUGUAGACAUCUAAAAACAAAACUCUGUUUAUCUUCUUCGGACGGCUUAUAUUAUACCAGAGCACUAUUUAAUAAUUACCUCUAAUAAAAUAUUUCAGACCACAAAACACGCUUUCAGGCCGGACGAAGGUCAACUUCCAUGCAUUGAACAAAACAACUAUCAAUUUUUUAUUUUAUAAAAACAAUUGUAGGAGAAAAGGAUCCAUAGCUAACCUCAACUAGUUUGGGAUUAAUCAAGGCAUGUAAACCAUUGCAACUUCAAAUAGGAAUAAGACAAAAUUACGAAAUGGAGGCAUGAACGAGAAUGAAAAAUCUGAAGAAUCAUCUUCCAAAACCAUAGAGAUACUGGCUAGGUGGGAAUGAAAUACCCACACAAGCUUGGUUUCUAUGAAAUAUGCAGCAUAUGCUUUGCUACUGUCAUAUGUAACUUUACUAGAAGCACUAAGCAGAGACCUAUUUUGUAAGAGGGUAACUUAACUUAUAUGUGUAUAUAUAUGUGUGUAUCUAUAUAUAUAUAUAUAAACAGUAAGGACCAAUAGAGGGAAAUGAUUCAAAUAGCCAACCACAACCAGACUAGAGUUAAACUUAGUUGACUGAGUUGACUUUCACAACUUAACUGAACUAAGAAGUGCCAAAUUCUGGACACUACCAAGAAACAUGCACAAGGCAAGUACCACCUAUCUUGUUGUUAAGUAUAUAAGAAAGUAGAAAAAUAGCACAGUGACAGAGUAAACUACUAAAAAGCCAUCCAAUCACAUAGUCAUUCAAGAUGUGUUCCUACACAUCGACUUUAGUUGAAAAAGAAAGAAUGUGCAAAGUAGGUAUUGCAACAUAAACUUUUAAUUUUGAGUUAAUUUUGAGCCUAAGAGGUGAU